rnacentral:lncRNA from 1 species
UUAUAUUUGUAAAUAAAGCUAAAAAAAUAGUUGGGGGCACAUUUGUGUAACCCAGACUAUUCGUUUCUAAAUAUAUGUUUUGAUCGAACAUUUUGGAAGAGAAUGAUGAUUUACAGGAAAUGGAGUUUGCUGACGAGUCCUGCUAUUGUCAUGGGAGGCGUUACAGCCACCCUUCUUGCCAUUGAUUUUGUUUUCAAACAGGUACCAAAGUCAAGGAGCUAAAAUUGAAAUAUCGUAAAAGUAUGGGGAGAGCCAAAGCCGGUGGGAUAUAGUAAGGACAAAAAAUAUUAAUUCUCAAUGUUGAGAUGGCCUUGUAUUUUAUUGAAAAGUGGGAGGAGUGACCUUGUAUUUUAAUGAGAAGAGGUAGUUCGUCUAAGUUCAAGCAC